UACAGAGGUCUCAAGCGUUGUUCGGAUUCAUUGGGCGUAAAGGGUGCGUAGGCGGCGCGGUAAGUCGGGUGUGAAAUCUCGGAGCUUAACUCCGAAACUGCAUUCGAUACUGCCGUGCUUGAGGACUGGAGAGGAGACUGGAAUUUACGGUGUAGCGGUGAAAUGCGUAGAUAUCGGGAGGAACACCAGUGGCGAAGGCGACUACCUGGCCUGUUCUUGACGCUGAGGAGCGAAAGCGUGGGGAGCGAACAGG
rnacentral:rRNA from 1 species